AGGAGCUGCCGCAGGCUGCGAUCUUUUGAUCUUGUUUUGUUGAAUCAAGAUCAAAAGAUCGCAGCCUGCGGCAGCUCCU
rnacentral:antisense_RNA from 1 species